rnacentral:misc_RNA from 1 species
UUUCCGUAGGUGAACCUGCGGAAGGAUCAUUCAUAAUAAGUGUUUUAUGGCACUUUUUUAAAUCCAUAUCCACCUUGUGUGCAAUGUCAGGGUUGAUUUUUCUCUCGAGAGGAUCAACCCCAAACAUCAACUAUAUAUAAACUCUUUGUCUGAAAAAUAUUAUGAAUAAAACAAUUCAAAAUACAACUUUCAACAACGGAUCUCUUGGCUCUC